AUAGCCAAGUACAGCCAGAGCUCAAUCCUCUUGACUCAAAGUACUAAUAUGCAUAUAUUUUGAUGCAACUAUAAAGCCUAUUAAUUGGCUUUUAUUUCAAAGCCUUUAUCAAUACCCCUGCUUGUUCUUGCUGACUUUUAAUGAAAGGACCUUAAAAAUAAAUUUCAAAGUGAAAGGCAGGAGCUUCUGCUCAGUUCCUAAAAAUAGGCGAGAGUAUAACAUGUCUUGCCUCUGAAAGGUUUAAUUUCAUUUUUAACCUCUUUUUCGAAGCUGUGAGAUCUUCCUUGGGUCUACAAUUUGGCUCGGACCCCCGCAGUUGAUUUAGGAAAGAAUAAGAUAGAACUCCAUCACAGCUCCAUACCUUACCACCCCUUUUGUCAAGUGGUAUCAGGUUUGUAUACUCAUCUCAGCAAAAAGGCUCUGGGCUAUAAGAAAACAACAAUCAUUCUGCAUCGGAGAGAACAGAGGUGAGCGUGAACUUCUGUGGAAAUGAAAGACUAUGGAAAUCAAAUAGAGAUGGUAGGUAGAGAUGAAAAAAGGGCAACUUUCAGUAUCCUUUAAGGGCAUUAUCAGGUACAUGAUUAUGACAUAUCAUAAAUUGAGGAUUCCUGUAGUAAAUUUCCAUUUUCACCUCUGUGCACACUACACACUCUUCAACAUAUUGCCAGUAC
rnacentral:lncRNA from 1 species